CCCUUAGAUGUUCUGGGCCGCACGCGUGCUACACUGAGUGGAUCAGCGGGUCAGGUUGCGCGAAAGCGUUUCCUAAUCUUUAAAUCCGCUCGUGAUGGGGAUUGACGGUUGCAAUUUUCUGUCAUGAACGAGGAAUACCUUGUAAGCGCGGGUCAUCAUCCCGCGCUGAAUACGUCCCUGCCCUUCGUACACACCGCCCGUCGCUCCUACCGAUUGAGUGGUCCGGUGAGGCUUUGGGAUCUGAGCGGAAAGAGCGUUUCGCUGUUUCUGCUCGGAAAACUCAGUCGAACCUUAUCAUUUAGAGGAAGGAGAAGUCGUAACA
rnacentral:rRNA from 1 species